UAGUAGGUGAUAAGCACCCAGUAAGUGGCUGAAGGGUGGACCACACACGCUGACUAGCAUGAGCUGAGCUGACAGGAAAACCUAAGAUCACCCUGAGUGCCAGGGACAACAGCGGAGAACGCUCAGGCUCCAGCCCUUUCUCUGAAGGCCUGACCAUCUACAGAACAGUACCCAUCCUUCCUGUACUUCACUUUCUUCCUGUUGUAGAGGAUCAUGGAGCCAUUCUGCGGUCUGCAAGUGACAAAUGGUUAAGUUACCGAGAGAACUAAGCAGAAGGGAAAUUUAUGAAGAAAGAUACCGCAGACCAGUAAAAGUCUCUACAGAAAAGCAA